UCCUUCUUAGCUCAGUUGGUAGAGCGCGUCACUAGUACAGUGCUAAUUCUACAGUUUGUUGCUGGUGGAAUUAUUUCAAGUCCAUGACGAGGUCAGUCGUUCAAGUCGGCUAGAAGGAA